rnacentral:rRNA from 1 species
CGUAACAAGGUUUCCGUAGNUGAACCUGCGGAAGGAUCAUUA